GGCGUGUCGUUGUGACAGUUCUUGAGGCCGCUGUCAGCCCCGCUGCGCACCAGCGUGCGCACCAGAGGCAGGAGCCCGCGGCCCGACGCAGAAUGCAGAGCGGAGCUGCCCGAGUACAUCUGAGCGUUCACGUUGGCGCCGUGCUGUGGGAUGGGACAUUCCGGUCAGGAGCCACGCGGGCUAGUGGCCUCACCUGGCCUGGGCUCUGAGCAUCCCUCCCUUUGGUCCAGCCUCCGGCGCGUUAGACACUUGAACCCUCGGCCACCCUGGCGCCUUUUGCCAGCUCCGCCUCCUAGGCCACACCCCCGCGCAAGCAAGGCCACGCCCCUCACCGCCUGCCUCCCUGGCUCACCACUGCAUCAAUGUCUGCACCGCGCUCCAGGAGCAACAGAACAGCCUCCUGGCACCCGGUGUUCACGGCCACGUGCAGAGCGGUGAGCCCUGAGGGAGGGGAAACCGCAGUCAGUCCCCGGCCUGUGUUUGGACGCUGUCAAUCUCACCCGGUCCCCUCUGGAGACUCACCUUCGUAAUUUCGAGCCUCCAGGUCCACGGAGCCCGGGGCUGCGUUGUCCAGCAGGGCCUGCAGGCAGCUGGGGCUGCGGUGCUCGCACGCCAGGUGGGCUGCAGUCUGGCCGUGGCGGUCCAGGGCCAUGGGGCUGGCACCAGCUGUCACCAGGAGCCGGACCAUCUCUGGUAAUGUGGUGAUUACAGCCAAGUGAAGUGGAGUCUGGGGAACAGUGACGGCGAGGGAUCGAUCAGAGUACUCCUGUGCGUGCACCUCGGGUUUUCUGAGUCUAUUAAUGGAAGCCUUUUACGUCUCUCCCAAAUCAAGAGGCCGAGACCCCCGCGUCUACCUCAGAACCCACAGAGUCUGCCUCGAUACAGAUGUUGUGAUAUGGAUAAGGUGUCAAGGAGCCCAUGUGGACCCACCCCAGACUUGCUCUAUAGAUGAGGAUGACCUCAAUUCCUGAUGUUCCUGCCUCCACCUCCCAAGUGCUGAGACCAAUGGAGUGAGCGGCUAUGCUGACUUUUGUUUGUUUGGUUUGGUUUUAAUCGUUUUAUAUAUUUA